CAGAUAUGCCGAUUUUGACACCGACACCUGCCCCACGCCGGCUUCCUCCCCCGAACCACGUUGCGAUGCAACCGCCUCAUCCCCCUCCUCGUUCCCCACCAUCUCAAGCUUCAAUUUUCUCCGCAUCACCGGUAGUUGAUCUGUGGGCAGAACUACGGGCGGCGGCCUGGAGCGGCAGUACGCGAGCUCUGACUCCAUCCCGAGCCAGCCGGCACACCCACUGAGGACGGACCGGAGCAGCCACAACCGGCGUCGCCCGCAGGGCGAGGCCCCAUCCUGCAGGGUGAGGCCUCCCGGCCAGGCCCGCAGUAGGUGCCGGUCGGUGCGCCUUGGCAGAUGCAGGGGAGGCGUAGGUCGCCGGCCCCAGCUCCCCACCCAGUCUAUGGACCGCCGCGUCGUUGCUCUCCAGGAACGCGGCCGCAGAUCCUUCUGAGCUGAGGCGCACCGCAUGGCCAAGCGGGGCGGUGACAACGCGCUAGUGAGCCAGUGCCGGCUGGACCAGAGCAUGACCGGCGCCGCGCGCGCGGUCUGGGGCCUGUAGUUCCUCGACCAGAGCAUGGUCACGCAGGGCAGCUGGCCCGAGGUGGAGAAGUGGUUCGACUGCCUCAUCAUCUACAGCCUGCUCCUCCGCUCGCACUUCAGCCAGUACAUUGGGAUGGUUGGAUCACAGGAAUUCACGGCACAGAUGUUUGAUGCGCUUGUACAGCGAAGGGGGUCGUUGCUCUGGUGCUGACCAAGGAUGAGCUGAGGGAAUUCUGGGAGCAUCUAUCAGAUUCAUGUUCUUGGUUGUUUCAAUUUGUUUCAACCCAUUCAGGUUCAUGGAUUAUAUCACAGAUAACAUCAGAUUCGGUUUGAUUCAACACAAGAGCAGUUGUUUCUGUCAGGUUUUGAUCUGUCAAGUUGUUGUUCAGUCAAGAUCGAAUUUCCGUGACCAAAUGUUCAGAGACCAAAUAAUCUUAGACAUGCUCUUAAUUAUUGGAUCAUGAACUUGCAGUAAUAAACAUGAUAAACAAUACUAGGACCGCCAAGAAACUGUAUUUAGUGAUCUUGUUAAAGAAGCUACAGACACAUCAUUAUAAUGUGCAUUUCAAUCAGACUUGAGAUGCAAAUAACACAGUAGUACAACAGGAUAACUAGACAAGAAGCAUUGGAGAAAAUUACUGUCUAUCCCAGGAUUACUUAUUUGUUUUCAUCACACAUUAGAGAUUUUUGUUCUCCACUUGUGUGUACACUGAAGCUACUAGAUUUGGUACAUUUCCAUCUUUGUUCUUGAUUAUCAGGUCCAUCUUGCAAAGAUUUGGUACUUGUCCAUCUUACAAAUAGAAGAAACAGAGGAUGCUUAUCAGGUCCAUCUUGCAAAGAUGCCUUAGAUCCAGGAAAGAUGAACAAAGAUUUGGUUUCAUUGCAAGUUUUGGACAACAUUCAAGCUUAUCAGGGUGCCAUCACCAAAAGGAUGACAACAAUUGAGGAAAUGGCAGGAAUGGAUGUUCUCUAAUGUGACAAAACUGGAACUCUCACUCUCAACCAUCUUACCGUCGACAAAAACCUAAUCGAGUGAGGAACUCUAAAACUUGAUGGAGCUUGCCGAAGAUCUACUGGUGAGAAGGGGAGUAGAGCUCUGGUAGGAAGAUGGGGAGCAGAGCACCGGCAGGGAGCAGAUCUUCCCCUCCCUGACCGUGAAGGAAAGAACCUCGCUAUGGAGGAGCUCGUCCGUGUGAAGGUGCAGGCUGCAGUGACGCCUGGCCACACUACAGCAAGGAGGAGGGGAAGAUGGAGGCACGGCGCCUGAGCCUGGCAGCGGCAGAGACGGAGAUCUAUGUGCUGGAGCCGGCGACAUUAUCUUGCUGCCGAAGAUGGAGCUCGAGGUGCUGAGUGGCGGGAGCCCAAGGAGAUGGCACCGGCGGCGGGGUCCUAGGGCUGGGGAUCAAGCUCGAGGUGCUGCAUGGAGAAAGCUCGAGGUUCUAGCCUGCCGGAGAUCGAGGUUC